UCCGGGGCCUCUGACCUGAUCUCUCGGGAGGAGAGAAACGUGAACAGAGCGCGGGCCCAGCUGCGGGGGCGGUGUGUUGGCGCCAGAAACUCUGGAAUUGAGCAGUUUUAACUGUGCCAUACACAGCUUCCAGGCUGGACGGGGCUCCAGGCGACGAGGCCGCGCCGUCCACACGUGGCACCACGCCCGGUGGGCGUCUCUCCUUGCUGCCCUGUCAGAAGACGCGGAGCAGGAAAAAGAACCCGUUACUAUUCUCGGUGCUCACACAGAGGGAGCCAAGGAAGGAGUGUGUGCAUCCCGGAGUUGACCGAGGGGCCUCGUGAGUCCUGAUGCGUGUGGCUUCUGACAGACACCAUCUCGGAGUCUGGGCGGUCCUCGGUUGGUUUCUGGGUAGUCCAUGCCUCUCCGUAUGAGGAUCAUGGGCUUUGUGAGGACACGAAAGAAGAUGCUGUGGGAGGAGCUUGCCAUGGAAACGUCUCUCGUCUACUCUGCGGUGUUUACCAUGGCCGGGAAAACAAACAGGAACGAUUUUGCUGACAAUGGAGGCAGGAAAGUGAGAGAACAAAAAAAGUGUCCUUAGUCUCCACUCAGGACAACGUUCCGACUGGGUGAGGCAGGUCUGAUCUGAGGAAAUCAUGUAGACUUCCCUUCCCUUCUCCAAAUUUCUGCUUACUAAAAUUCUACCAUUAGAGAUUUAUUCCUCUGAUUAAACUCUGCGUCCCUAGGACAGUUCUUAUUUUUCCAAAUGAAAAUACUAAUACUUUUAUAAAAAGGACACAUAAUUUAACAUGUGUGCCAACCUGAACCUGUGGGUAGUACUUGCCUGAAACAUUGUGUUGAGAAAGCCUCUGAGGCUUUAUAUGGCUGCCAAUCCAAAGAAUGUCUAUUGAUUAGUUAUAUCUGCCAUAAAUACAAGAAGGGAGGAGAGUAUUUACUUUCCCUGUCUUAGAGGAGAGGAGGUUAAGUGGCUUUUUUGGUCUCCUACCAUAACAGGAGAAUGCACGUACGUACAUGCUAAGUCCCUUCAGUUGUGUCCGACUCUUUGGGACCCCGAGGACUGUAGCCCACCAGGCUCCUCCUCU